UACGGAGGAUCCGAGCGUUAUCCGGAUUUAUUGGGUUUAAAGGGAGCGUAGAUGGAUGUUUAAGUCAGUUGUGAAAGUUUGCGGCUCAACCGUAAAAUUGCAGUUGAUACUGGCAGUCUUGAGUGCAGUAGAGGUGGGCGGAAUUCGUGGUGUAGCGGUGAAAUGCAUAGAUAUCGCGCAGAACUCCGAUUGCGAAGGCAGCCUGCUAAGCUGCAACUGACAUUGAGGCUCGAAAGUGUGGGUAUCAA
rnacentral:rRNA from 1 species